GUCACUGACGAGUUUGAUCAUGGCUCAGAACGAACGCUGGCGGCAGGCCUAACACAUGCAAGUCGAACGAACCCUUCGGGGUGAGUGGCGCACGGGUGCGUAACACGUGGGAAUAUACACAUAGGUAAGGAAUAACUCAGGGAAACUUGCGCUAAUACCUUAUAAUAACUCCGGUUCAAAGAUUUAUCGCCUAUGGAUUAGCCCGCGCUAGAUUAGUUUGUUGGUGAGGUAAGAGCUCACCAAGACUACGAUCUAUAGCUGGUCUUAGAGGAUGAUCAGCCACACUGGAACUGAGACACGGUCCAGACUCCUACGGGAGGCAGCAGUGAGGAAUAUUGCGCAAUGGAGGAAACUCUGACGCAGCCAUGCCGCGUGAAUGAAGAAGGCCUUAGGGUUGUAAAAUUCUUUCAGAUGCGAAGAUAAUGACGGUACCAUCAGAAGAAGCUCCGGCUAAAUUCGUG
rnacentral:rRNA from 1 species